rnacentral:lncRNA from 1 species
UUGAGAUGUGAUGCUGCAAUGACGCGUGUGGGUCUCUGCCCCACGCCUGGCUGAAGCCCUGCACCAGAGCACUUCCACGCCUGCCCCCUGCCCGUACCGAGGCUACAGACACCCAGCAAGCAUAACCCAAUCUUCACCAGCACUCCAUGCAUGCACAGUGAUUUGUUAAAUUUCUACAUAUGACACCUCCUUCCCCCAGCUCCCCUCCCCACUUCUCCUCAGCGUAGUUGAACUUUAAAGGGCCCAGGAGAAAAAAGAAAUAAGACUUUAAAUAAUUUAUUUUGGAGAAACAGUCAGUGAAGAGGAACAAAUAAUGUUUCACUAAAAGAAGCGGGACCUUUGACACUCCCCUUUUCGCUCAGGUACCUGAAGGCCUAGCCGGAUUGCAUUAGUGAAAUUUUCAUUUGAUGGCAUUUUAAUAUUCUGCCUUGAUGACUUUUUAGCAACAUUUACUUUCAGAGGUCUUGAGUGCUCCCUCGGAGGAAAUGAAACAUGUCAAAGCCCAUUACAAAAAUCAAAAUUUAAAUACCUCGGCCACGUUGGGGCUCACACACAAUCCCAUCAGCGCUUAAACUGAGGCUCACAACUACUCAUUCACUUGUUCAGUUGGUAAUGAGUACAUUUGAUGAAGCAUUCUGGGGUCAUGGAACAUACGUUAGUGAUCUAAACUUAACCCAUUGAUUGCUUAUACACUGAGGGGAGGGGGCAUUUUAUUGAAAUGUAAUGUUAGAAUAAUUUCCACCAGUGCUGAAAUAACUUUUUUUUUUUUUUUUUAACAAUUGCUUUGAUGAAUUGGAAUGUUAAUAAGCAUGAUGGGAGGGCUUUAUUUAAGGUGGGCAGGAAGGAGCCAAGCUAGGAAUACAGAGCAGUUAGCUGAGCUCUUCAGCCACUGAAAAGCAAGCACAAGACAAUACUGGGGCUCUCUCUCCUUAUUAAACUUGCAUUUGGACUUUCUUGGAAAUCUUCCCUGUUCUAUCAUCUGUUUUUUUUUUGGUUGGUUGGUUGGUUGGUUCAUACCAUUACUCUGAUUUACUCUUUUGUGUCUUUGUCUUGCCUCUCCAUCCAACCCUUCCUUAAGCUGACGUAUGUGCUCUUGCUUUGCACCUUGAGUGGUCAGAGAUAGGGCUACCAUCAGAAGCCAUUUUAAAGUAUAUAAUAUUUUAGUCUUAGCUGUGUCUAUUGUGCAUUGCUGUAAAAAGUGGUGAAACCAGGAGAGCCAGUACUUCAGGGUAAGGCAUCUCAGAGAUCUCCAGGCUAAUGUAGAUCUGAGGUGGUAAAUCAUAAAUUAUCAUGAGGGUGACCAGGUGAUUUGGGUCUGAAAGCUGCAAAA